GCCGCCUUAGCUCAGUUGGCCAGAGCAACCGCCUUGUAAGCGGUUGGUCGCGGGUUCGAAUCCCGCAGGCGGCU
rnacentral:tRNA from 1 species